AAUGAAAACAUUAAAGAGAAAAAAAGAAGAGGGUUUUUGUACUAAAAGCCUACUUUAUAUGCAAAAUUUCAACAAUUCUCCGGUAAUCAUCUAAUUCAAAAGCAGCCCUUGAAAUGGAACCCAGGGUCUGGGUAUUUGGUGUCCACGUAUUCCC